rnacentral:piRNA from 1 species
UCUGAUGGUGGAGCGCUUCCUAUUCUGU